AUUGAACGCUGGCGGCAGGCCUAACACAUGCAAGUCGAACGCUUUUUCUUUCACCGGAGCUUGCUCCACCGAAAGAAAAAGAGUGGCGAACGGGUGAGUAACACGUGGGUAACCUGCCCAUCAGAAGGGGAUAACACUUGGAAACAGGUGCUAAUACCGUAUAACACUAUUUUCCGCAUGGAAGAAAGUUGAAAGGCGCUUUUGCGUCACUGAUGGAUGGACCCGCGGUGCAUUAGCUAGUUGGUGAGGUAACGGCUCACCAAGGCAACGAUGCAUGGCCGACCUGAGAGGGUGAUCGGCCACACUGGGGCUGAGACACGGCCCAGACUCCUACGGGAGGCAGCAGUAGGGAAUCUUCGGCAAUGGACGAAAGUCUGACCGAGCAACGCCGCGUGAGUGAAGAAGGUUUUCGGAUCGUAAAACUCUGUUGUUAGAGAAGAACAAGGAUGAGAGUAAAAUGUUCAUCCCUUGACGGUAUCUAACCAGAAAGCCACGGCUAACUACGUGCCAGCCGCCGCGGUAA
rnacentral:rRNA from 1 species